rnacentral:rRNA from 1 species
AAGAAAGUUACUUAAGGGCGUAUGGAGGAUGCCUUGGCUCUUAUAGGCGACGAAGGACGUGAUAGGCUGCGAUAAGCCUCGGGGAGGUGCCUAAUAACCUUUGAUCCGAGCGAUUUCCGAAUGGGGAAACCCGGUACUUUGAAGAAGUAUCACACUGCAGCAAUGCAGGGAGCAAACCCGGAGAACUGAAACAUCUAAGUACCCGGAGGAAGAGAAAACAAAUAGUGAUUCCCCAAGUAGUGGCGAGCGAACGGGGAACAGCCCAAAUUCAGGCAGUUAAGGCUGCCUGAAGGUUGUAGGACUGCAAUGUGGACUGUAAAUGGAAAGUGGAAGUUUCUGGAAAGAAACACCAUAGGGGGUGAUAGUCCCGUACACGAAUUUCAUUUGCUACCUAGCAGUAUCCUGAGUAACGCGGGGUUGGAGACGCCCUGCGUGAAUUUGCCGGCACCAUCCGGUAAGGCUAAACACUCAUAAGAGACCGAUAGCGAACAAGUACUGUGAAGGAAAGGCGAAAAGAACCUCGAACAGAGGAGUGAAAUAGAACCUGAAACCAUACGCCUACAAGCAGUUGGAGUCCCGAUUUAUCGGGAUGACAGCGUGCCUUUUGCAUAAUGAGCCUACGAGUUACUCAUCACUAGCAAGGUUAAUCCUGUAAACAGGAGUAGCCGGAGCGAAAGCAAGUCUUAACUGGGCGUACAGUUAGUGGUGGUAGACGCGAAACCUUGUGAUCUACCCAUGGUCAGGAUGAAGUUCCGGUAACACGGGAUGGAGGUCCGAACUGGUGAACGUUGAAAAGUUCUCGGAUGAACUGUGGGUAGGGGUGAAAGGCUAAUCAAACUGGGAGAUAGCUCGUACUCCCCGAAAUGUUUUUAGGAACAGCCUCAAUUGAAUUGUCGUAGAGGUAGAGCUACUGAUUGGGCUAGGGGGCUUCAUCGCCUACCGAACCUUGACAAACUCCGAAUGCUACGACAUGUGAUUGGGAGUGAGUCUCUGGGCGCCAAGGUCCUGGGACGAGAGGCAAACAAACCAGAUCAUCAGCUAAGGUCCCAAAAUGUAUGUUAAGUUGCAUCUAACGAGGUUCGACUGCACUGACAGCCAGGAUGUUUGCUUGGAAGCAGCCAUUCAUUUAAAGAGUGCGUAACAGCUCACUGGUCGAGCGGUUGGGCGUGGAAGAUAAACGGGCAUUAAACAUACUACCGAAGCUAUGGACUAUGCAGCAAUGCAUUAGUGGUAGGGGAGCAUUCCAGCAACGUAGAAGGUAUACUGUAAGGUAUGCUGGAGUUUCUGGAAAAGAAAAUGUAGGCAUAAGUAACGAUAAUGCAUGUGAGAAACAUGCACACCGAUAGACUAAGGUUUCCUGAACAACGUUAAUCGGUUCAGGGUUAGUCGGGGCCUAAGGCGAAUCCGAAUGGAGUAGUCGAUGGACAACUGGUUAAUAUUCCAGUACCGGCUUUAUUGCGAUGGGAUGACGGAGUAGUGAAAGGUCUGCCUCCUGACGGAAUUGGAGGUUGAAAGGCAAAGGUAUACGGGCAGUAGUUAAGUACGCUGCCUGUGCUGAAGCCCGAUAGUACCGCGAGUUUUCGGAUGAGCGGAUAAUGACCCUAAUCAGACUUCCGAGAAAAACCCCUAAGCUUCAGAUAAAAGCCGCCCGUACCGCAAACCGACACAGGUAGUCAAGGAGAAUAUCCUGAGGUGCUCGAGUGAGCCGCGGUUAAGGAACUAGGCAAGAUAACCCUGUAACUUCGGGAGAAAGGGUCCCCCGAGCAAUCGGGGGCGCAGUUAAAUGCAUCUAGCGACUGUUUAACAAAAACACAGGGCUCUGCAAAAUCGAAAGAUGAAGUAUAGGGCCUGACACCUGCCCGGUGCCGGAAGGUUAAGAGGAGAAGUCAUCCGCAAGGAAAAGCUUUGAAUCGAAGCCCCGGUAAACGGCGGCCGUAACUAUAACGGUCCUAAGGUAGCGAAAUUCCUUGUCGGGUAAGUUCCGACCUGCACGAAUGGUGUAACGACUGGAUGGCUGUCUCGACCGCGAGCUCGGUGAAAUUGUGAUAUCGGUGAAGACGCCGAUUACCUGCAACGGGACGGAAAGACCCCGUGCACCUUUACUAUAACUUAACAUUGUCUUUGGGUGAAUGAUAUGUAGCAUAGGUGGGAGACUUUGAAGCUGCGGCGCUAGCCGUGGUGGAGUCAACAGUGAAAUACCACUUUUCGUUCUUUUGAAGUCUAAUCCGCCUUACCGGCGGAGACAGUGUUUGGCGGGUAGUUUGACUGGGGUGGUCGCCUCCAAAAAAGUAUCGGAGGCUUUCAAAGGUACCCUCAGUACGCUUGGUAACCGUACGUGGAGCGCAAUAGCAUAAGGGUGCUUGACUGUGAGGCAUACAAGCCGAGCAGGGCCGAAAGGCGGAUAUAGUGAUCCGGUGGUUCCGCAUGGAAGGGCCAUCGCUCAAAGGAUAAAAGGUACGCCGGGGAUAACAGGCUGAUCCUCCCCAAGAGCUCAUAUCGACGGGGGGGUUUGGCACCUCGAUGUCGGCUCGUCACAUCCUGGGGCUGAAGAAGGUCCCAAGGGUUGGGCUGUUCGCCCAUUAAAGUGGCACGCGAGCUGGGUUCAGAACGUCGUGAGACAGUUCGGUCCCUAUCUGUUGCGGGCGUUAGAAAUUUGCGGGGAGCUGACUCUAGUACGAGAGGACCGAGUUGGACGAACCUCUAGUGUAUCUGCUGUGGCGCCAGCUGCAUCGCAGAGUAGCUAUGUCCGGAAGGGAUAAGCGCUGAAAGCAUCUAAGCGCGAAGCCCACCUCAAGAUAAGAUUUCUUUUAAGGGUCGUUAUAGAUGAUGACGUUGAUAGGCUACAGGUGUAAAGCCAGCAAUGGCAAAGCCGAGUAGUACUAAUAACCCGUAGACUUUUUAC